rnacentral:rRNA from 1 species
GAUGAACGCUGGCGGCGUGCCUAAUACAUGCAAGUCGAGCGAACAGACGAGGAGCUUGCUCCUCUGACGUUAGCGGCGGACGGGUGAGUAACACGUGGAUAACCUACCUAUAAGACUGGGAUAACUUCGGGAAACCGGAGCUAAUACCGGAUAAUAUAUUGAACCGCAUGGUUCAAUAGUGAAAGACGGUUUUGCUGUCACUUAUAGAUGGAUCCGCGCCGCAUUAGCUAGUUGGUAAGGUAACGGCUUACCAAGGCAACGAUGCGUAGCCGACCUGAGAGGGUGAUCGGCCACACUGGAACUGAGACACGGUCCAGACUCCUACGGGAGGCAGCAGUAGGGAAUCUGCCGCAAUGGGCGAAAGCCUGACGGAGCAACGCCGCGUGAGUGAUGAAGGUCUUCGGAUCGUAAAACUCUGUUAUAGGGAAGAACAAAUGUGUAAGUAACUAUGCACGUCUUGACGGUACCUAAUCAGAAAGCCACGGCUAACUACGUG